GUACACUGUGAUUUUCUUAUAGUUCCCUGGACACACUGUCUGAUACUGCUGAACCUUGUCUUAUAAUACCUUUCCAAUAUUAUUUCCCAGUAAAGAACAUGCUUAGGAUUGAACUCAAAAGUUACCCUUUGGUGAUUCGUGGAAUGAAUUAAUGAAAGUAUGCAGCUGGAACAGCAUCUGUGAAAAUGAGAGAAGAAAACUGGAACCCAAGUGCUCCAUUGAGGGGAAGGCAUUUCCCAUGAUUCUUUGAACCACACCUCACUUAGAAGAUUCUGGAAGUUUCUUCAGGUGGAGUAACAGACAACUAUUCAAGUCCUGGAAGAUCACUGGAGCUGUUCUGAACAUCCUCAGUAGUAUUAAAGUACAUAUGGAUUCAUUUUAAUAUCCAGGGUAUUUACAUUUCUAUUAUUAAAACAAUAUAGGUAUAAUUUUCCACAAUAAUAUGUUCUUAAUAACCAAUUUACAUCUGCAUUUAGUUUAACUGUAAAAAUAACUUUACCAACUUAUUUGGUAUUUUUUGUGUAUGUAAUUUCUAAUCUGUGAUGGCUCUGAAUAGCAAAUAAUUUAAUAUAUUUUCAAUUUCUAAAGUAUUUUCUUCCUCAUGUAGUAAUCAACUGCAUGACAAUUUAUUAUCAAGCAAAUAUCCAGAAUUAUAAGCCAAUUUUCUUUCAUCUGCUAUUAUAUAAUAUCAUUAAUUUUGUCUGAGAUGUAAUUAAUUAAAUAAAAUACAGUAAUUUAAUUGUAAAUCACAGUUUGUCUUCACACCUUAAAACUUUUCUCCAAAAGUAAUAGCAAUUUCUAGACUUUCCAUCUGCUGAAUAUUACUUGGGUCUGACUGACAUUCCAUGGUGGACAGACCUUAAGGUGAAUUCCAAUGAUCUCUGCCUCCUUUGCUCCAUGCCAUUCAUAUUAACCUCCCACUGGAGUGUGGGUGGGAACCAAGACUUGCCUUUAAUCAAAAGAAUGCACAAAAGUAAUGGAAAGCCAAUACCACGAUUAUGCAGUUAUAUAAGACAUACUUCUCCCUUUCUCUUCCUCUGUCACUGCCUUCAAAGAAUUGAGUUGCUUUGAAUCCUACAGCCAAAGGCAAAUAAAUUCUGCCAACAACCUGAAGGGCUUGGAAGAGGAUCUUCCCUUCUUUAAUCAGUCCUCCAGAUGAAAACACCUGAUUAACACCUUGACUGUAAUCUUAUAAGGGAUCCAGCUAUUCCAUAGCUCAAAUCCUGACCCAAAGAAACUGAUAUUAGAAAUGUGUGUUGUUUUAAACCACUGUGCUUGUGACUGUUGUUGUACCGAAUAUAAAACUAUUUCAGGCUGGGUGCAGUGGCUCAUGCCUGUAAUCCCAGAACUUUGGGAGGCUGACAUGGGUGGAUCACUGGAGGUCAGGAGUUCGAGACUAGCCUGGCCAAGAUGGUGAAACCCCGUCUCUACUAAACAUACAAAAAAAUAGCUGGGAGUGUUGGUGGGCACCUGUAAUCCCAGCUACUCUGGAGGCUGAGGCAGGAGAAUCGCUUAAACCCGGGAGGCAGAGGUUGCAGUGAGCCAAGUUCGCGCCACUGCACUCCUGCCUGGGCAACGAUAGUGUAACUCCAUCUCAAACAACAACAACAACAACAAAAAUAUUUCAAUUAUUUUCUUAAUUUUCCUAUUUCCUGGAAUUAAUGAUCUCACUAUCAUGAAUAACUUUUUGGAGCUGGGGAUUUCUAGAGUAUUUCUGUCUCUUAAUUACUACUAAAUAUCUUAGACCAUUAUUUGAGAACCAAUAUUUAUUGUCUAUAAAGACUUCUAAAAUAACUACAAAUUCUCAUCUACACACAGAUGAGUAGAAUAACUGAAAACAUCAUUUUUAGGAAUCUAGACUUUAUGACUUUGUUUUUGUAAUCUGAAAUAAAGCUUUUUAUUACUAAAGUUUAAAU
rnacentral:lncRNA from 1 species